AUUCCAGCUCCAAUAGCGUAUAUUAAAGUUGUUGUGGUUAAAAAGCUCGUAGUUGGAUCUCGGCGGUCUGAGGGCGGUUCGCUUCAGAGCGCUACUGCCCUAUAGACCGUAGUUUUGCCAGAGGUCUCAGGGUGCUCUUAACCGAGUGUCUUGCGAUGCUGGCAGGUUUACUUUGAAAAAAUUAGAGUGCUCAAAGCAGGCUUUUACGCCUGAAUAUUCGUGCAUGGAAUAAUAGAAUAGGAAGUCGUUUCUAUUUUGUUGGUUUUAGGAAAUCGACUUAAUGAUUAAUAGGGACAGUCGGGGGCAUUUGUAUUCAAACGACAGAGGUGAAAUUCUUGGACCGUUUGAAGACAAACUACUGCGAAAGCAUUUGCCAAGAAUGUUUUCAUUA
rnacentral:rRNA from 1 species